rnacentral:rRNA from 1 species
CCAACGCCUGGCGGCAGGCCUACACAUGCAAGUCGAGCGCGCCCUUCGGGGUGAGCGGCGGACGGGUUAGUAACGCGUGGGAAUAUACCCGACACUAAGGAAUAGCCUCUGGAAACGGAGAGUAAUACCUUAUACGCCCUUCGGGGGAAAGAUUUAUCGGUGACGGAUUAGCCCGCGUUAGAUUAGAUAGUUGGUGGGGUAAUGGCCUACCAAGUCUACGAUCUAUAGCUGGUUUUAGAGGAUGAUCAGCAACACUGGGACUGAGACACGGCCCAGACUCCUACGGGAGGCAGCAGUGGGGAAUCUUGGACAAUGGGCGCAAGCCUGAUCCAGCCAUGCCGCGUGAGUGAUGAAGGCCUUAGGGUCGUAAAGCUCUUUCGCCAGAGAUGAUAAUGACAGUAUCUGGUAAAGAAACCCCGGCUAACUCCGUGCCAGCAGCCGCGGUAAUACGGAGGGGGUUAGCGUUGUUCGGAAUUACUGGGCGUAAAGCGCGCGUAGGCGGAUUAGUAAGUUAGAGGUGAAAUCCCGGGGCUCAACCCCGGAACUGCCUUUAAUACUGCUAGUCUUGAGUUCGAGAGAGGUGAGUGGAAUUCCGAGUGUAGAGGUGAAAUUCGUAGAUAUUCGGAGGAACACCAGUGGCGAAGGCGGCUCACUGGCUCGAUACUGACGCUGAGGUGCGAAAGUGUGGGGAGCAAACAGGAUUAGAUACCCUGGUAGUCCACACCGUAAACGAUGAAUGCCAGUCGUCGGGUAGCAUGCUAUUCGGUGACACACCUAACGGAUUAAGCAUUCCGCCUGGGGAGUACGGUCGCAAGAUUAAAACUCAAAUGAAUUGACGGAAGGC